rnacentral:rRNA from 1 species
CAGUAAACGGCGGCCGUAACUAUAACGGUCCUAAGGUAGCGAAAUUCCUUGUCGGGUAAGUUCCGACCUGCACGAAUGGUGUAACGACUUGGGCACUGUCUCAACCAGGAACUCGGUGAAAUUGUAGUGGCGGUGAAGAUGCCGCCUACCCGCGAACGGACGGAAAGACCCCGUGAACCUUUACUGCAUCUUGGUAUUGUAAUUUGGUAAAGUAUGUGUAGGAUAGGUGGGAGACUAAGAAUAUGGUACGCCAGUAUCGUAGGAGUCAUUGUUGAAAUACCACCCUUAUUUUAUUGAGUUACUAACGCGUUUAGUUAUCCUGAAUGCGGACAUUGCCAGGAGGGCAGUUUGACUGGGGCGGUCGCCUCCUAAAAAGUAACGGAGGCUUACAAAGGUUCCCUCAGGCUGGUUGGUAAUCAGCCGAAGAGCAUAAAGGUAUAAGGGAGCUUGACUGCGAGACCGACGGGUCGAGCAGAUGGGAAACCAGGUCUUAGUGAUCCGGCGGCUCUGAAUGGAAGGGCCGUUGCUCAAAGGAUAAAAGGUACUCCGGGGAUAACAGGCUGAUACCGCCCAAGAGUUCACAUCGACGGCGGUGUUUGGCACCUCGAUGUCGGCUCAUCACAUCCUGGGGCUGAAGCAGGUCCCAAGGGUUCGGCUGUUCGCCGAUUAAAGUGGUACGUGAGCUGGGUUUAAAACGUCGUGAGACAGUUUGGUCCUUAUCUGUUGCGGGCGCAGGAUAUUUGAGGAGAUCUUUCCCUAGUACGAGAGGACCGGGAUGGACGAACCUCUGGUGUUCCAGUUGUCGCGCCAGCGGCAUAGCUGGGUAGCUAUGUUCGGAAGGGAUAACCGCUGAAAGCAUCUAAGUGGGAAGCCCAUUCCAAGAUAAGAUCUCUCUGAUUAAAUCAAUAAGAUCACUUGAAGACUACGAGUUAGAUAGGCAGGAGGUGUAGGCAUGGUAACAUGUAAAGCUGACCUGUACUAAUUGAUCGAAAGUUUUAUAAU